CUGGGAAAGGGUGCUCAAGUGGGAGCCUAACACUCCAGCUAGGCAGAGCUAGGUGUGCCAGGCAGGACAGAAGCCUACAAAGCUGCAGCUUGCCUGAGAAAGCAGCUGUAGGGAGAUGGUUGCCUUUAUCCAUUUUAGGAGGUCUCUGAAUAUAAAAAACAAGAAUGAUACUAAUGUGAUCAUUACCUUUGAUGUACUCCAUUAGCUUCUCUCUGUUCAGCUUCCAUGCUGCACCACAGCAUUGUUUGAAAGAGCUGCAUGCUAAACUUGGCGGAGACCCCCAUCACCACCCAAACACCAUUGUGGAUACCUCUGAGGACCAUGAGCCACAGGCCCCUGGCAUGAAGACAAGGAGAAGGUGAAGGAGGAAGAAGAGAAGGAUGGGGGACAUGCAACUG